rnacentral:rRNA from 1 species
UACAGAGGUCUCGAGCGUUGUUCGGAUUCAUUGGGCGUAAAGGGUGCGUAGGUGGCUAGGUAAGUCGGAUGUGAAAUCCCGGGGCUCAACCCCGGAACUGCAUUCGAUACUGCCUGGCUUGAGUACUGGAGAGGAGAUUGGAAUUUACGGUGUAGCAGUGAAAUGCGUAGAUAUCGUAAGGAAGACCAGUGGCGAAGGCGGAUCUCUGGACAGUUACUGACACUGAGGCACGAAGGCCAGGGGAGCAAACGGG